rnacentral:rRNA from 1 species
CCCCUAUCUUUAGUUGCCAUCAUUGGAGUUGGGCACUCUAAAGAGACUGCCGGUGUCAAACCGGAGGAAGUGGGGAUGACGUCAAGUCCUCAUGGCCUUUAUGACCAGGGCUACACACGUACUACAAUGGCCGGUACAAAGGGCAGCGACACAGCGAUGUGAAGCGAAUCCCGAAAAGCCGGUCUCAGUCCGGAUUGGAGUCUGCAACUCGACUCCAUGAAGUUGGAAUCGCUAGUAAUCGCGGAUCAGCACGCCGCGGUGAAUACGUUCCCGGGCCUU